GCCCCGCGCGCUGCGCUCCGCCGCCCGCCGAGACACACUCAGGUCCGCGGACAGCGGCCGCAGCAGCGCAGACGAGGGGGAGCUGCGCGUCGCAGAGUCAGUACAUUUCGAGUAUUCAUCGCGGUAUCUCAUGGAGUCGGUCCUCUAGUUUCCUAAGAUGUAGUUUCACCGGAAUGGAGAUUCACGCCUAUUUUUGACUAUGAAAAUAAUUACAGAUUUCUGUUUCGCGAUAUUCUGAAAUUUCUUAAGAAAAUCACUUCGCUUUGAAAUAAAUCGUACCUGGCAAUAAUAAUUUAACAUUUUGUAGGAGCGACGCGUCCCCGCCGCGCGACACCUCGCCCUAGAGUGCGGAGUGCGGAGUGCGGGGCGGCGCGGAGCGUGGCGCAGCUGAACGACACGGCCAGUUGACAGACCGCCCGACCUGCAAAUCUAAUGUUUAUAUAACUUUAUUAAGAAUAAAUGUAUCUUUGCUGUU